rnacentral:rRNA from 1 species
GUGAGGAAUAUUGGUCAAUGGGCGGGAGCCUGAACCAGCCAAGUCGCGUGAAGGAAGAAGGAUCUAUGGUUCGUAAACUUCUUUUGCAGGGGAAUAAAGUGCAGGACGUGUCCUGUUUUGUAUGUACCCUGAGAAUAAGGAUCGGCUAACUCCGUGCCAGCAGCCGCGGUAAUACGGAGGAUCCGAGCGUUAUCCGGAUUUAUUGGGUUUAAAGGGUGCGUAGGUGGUUUGAUAAGUCAGCGGUGAAAGUUUGCAGCUUAACUGUAAAAAUGCCGUUGAAACUGUCGGACUUGAGUGUAAAUGAGGUAGGCAGAAUGCGUGGUGUAGCGAUGAAAUGCAUAGAUAUCACGCAGAACUCCGAUUGCGAACGCAGCUUACUAAGCUACAACUGACACUGAAGCACGAAAGCGUGGGGAUCAAACAGGAUUAGAUACCCCUGUAGUCC